AACCAGACUCCUACGGGAGGCAGCAGUGGGGAAUAUUGCACAAUGGGGGAAACCCUGAUGCAGCAACGCCGCGUGAGUGAAGAAGUAUUUCGGUAUGUAAAGCUCUAUCAGCAGGGAAGAAGAUGACGGUACCUGACCAAGAAGCCCCGGCUAACUACGUGCCAGCAGCCGCGGUAAUACGUAGGGGGCAAGCGUUAUCCGGAUUUACUGGGUGUAAAGGGAGCGUAGACGGCUGUGCAAGCCAGAUGUGAAAGCCCGGGGCUCAACCCCGGGACUGCAUUUGGAACUGUGUGGCUGGAGUGUCGGAGAGGCAGGCGGAAUUCCUAGUGUAGCGGUGAAAUGCGUAGAUAUUAGGAGGAACACCAGUGGCGAAGGCGGCCUGCUGGACGAUGACUGACGUUGAGGCUCGAAAGCGUGGGGAGCAAACAGGAUUAGAUACCCUCGUACA
rnacentral:rRNA from 1 species